rnacentral:rRNA from 1 species
CCUACGGGAGGCUGCAGUGGGGAAUAUUGGACAAUGGGGGAAACUCUGAUCCAGCGACGCCGCGUGAGUGAUGAAGUAUUUCGGUACUUAAAGCUUUAUUAGUAGGAAAGAAAAUGACGGUACCUGACUAAUAAGCCACGUCUAACUACGUGCCAGCAGCCGCGGUAAUACGUAGGGGGCAAGCGUUAUCCGGAUUUACUGGGUGUAAAGGGAGCGUAGACGGCAGCGCAAGUCUGGAGUGAAAUGCUGGGGCCCAACCGCGAAACUGCCCUGGAAACUGUGAAGCUGGAGUGCAGGAGAGGUAAGCGGAAUUCGUGGUGUAGCGGUGAAAUGCGUAGAUAUCAGGAGGAACACCGAUGGCGAAGGCAGCUUACUGGACUGUAACUGACGUUGAGGCUCGAAGGCGUGGGGAGCAAACAGGAUUAGAUACCCCGGUAGUC